CCUACGGGCCGCACCAGUGGGGAAUAUUGGACAAUGGGCGAAAGCCUGACCCAGCAAUGCCGCGUGUGUGAAGAAGGUCUUCGGAUUAUAAGGCACUUCCGACGGGGACGAUGAUGACGGUACCCGUAGAAGAAGCCCCGGCUAACUUCGUGCCAGCAGCCGCGGUAAUACGAAGGGGGCUAGCGUUGCUCGGAAUGACUGGGCGUAAAGGGCGCGUAGGCGGUUUAUGCAGUCAGAUGUGAAAUCCCCGGGCUUAACCUGGGAACUGCAUUUGAGACGCAUAGACUAGAGGUCGAGAGAGGGUUGUGAUAUUCCCAGUGUAGAGGUGAAAUUCGUAGAUAUUGGGAAGAACACCGGUGGCGAAGGCGGCAACCUGGCUCGAUACUGACGCUGAGGCGCGAAAGCGUGGGGAGCAAACAGGAUUAGAUACCCCUGUAGUC
rnacentral:rRNA from 1 species